CCAAUUCGCUGGCCUCCUUCUUCUUCCCCAAGCGCCACGCGCCGCCCGCCUCCCCCCCGUUUGCGGCAACCAGGCCCGGCGCAGAGGCUCGCGUAGAGGGGUGUGUGUUGCCUAUGGAGUAACCUAUGGAUGCGAGAGCUGGACCAUAAGGAAGGCUGAGCAAAGGAAGAUAGACACUUUUGAACUCUGGUGCUGGAGGAAAAUCCUGAGAGUGCCUUGGACCGCAAGAAGAUCCAACCAGUCCAUCCUCCAGGAAAUAAUGCCCGGCUGCUCACUGGAGGGAAGGAUAUUAGAGGCAAAGCUGAAGUAUUUUGGCCACAUCAUGAGGAGACAGGAAAGCUUGGAAAAGAUCACGAUGCUGGGGAAAAUGGAAGGAAAAAGGAAGAGAGGCCGACCAAGGGCAAGAUGGAUGGUGUUGUGAGACCCAGCCACAGGCUGGCCAGAUUCAAGAUGAAGAUGAAGGGGAUUCUGGUUUUGGGAUUCAAGAGCUGUCUGAGGCUGAAGCCAGCUCAGAGAUGCAAUUUCACUUUGAGCAGGAUGAACUGCUGACCCCAGGAGAGAUAGAUAACGGUCAGGCUGACAUUCUCUUGAGAAAUGAUGAGGGAGAAACUUCAGCUUUGAGAAAUAAUGAGGGAGACGGUUUAGCUCCAGGCCAGGUGCAAGAUAAUGGUAGCACAAGCAGUGAGUUAUCCAGAGAGGACCGUUUGUCUUGGAUGGGUUCCCAGUUUCGUCGAAGUGAGCGUUUGGCACGGGAAAGGGAGACUAGCUGUGGGAAAAGGAACGCCUUUCUGGGUUGUUAUUAAAGUGUGCUUUUGCAGAUCACUCUUUGUCAGAGCAAUUCCUCGCUUCAUCUAGGUGGAUGUUCUCCUCGUCAGUGUUCUUGGAUUCUUGGGCUUUGUUCUUUGGACUCUAUGGACUAUUACCUUGCCUUGUAGAUUAUUGCUCUUGCCAUGCUCUUUGAACUUAUGGACCUUGCAUUUUGGAUUAUUGGACAUUUCUUUACCUUGUGAUCUUAUUGGAUUUAUUGACUCUUUCACUACAACUUUGAACUAUCUUUUGAUUGCUUGCUUGACUUAUUCCCUGCUUUCCAUAAUAAAAACCUCAAAAGACUACUUGUGUGUCUGACUGGGUAACUAUAGCAAGGUGAACUUAGCCUGAGGUGCGACAGAUUUUUUUAAAAAAAUAUAUAUAUUUUUAUUGAAGUUUUACCUUAUAAGAUAGAGUAAUUAACAUCGAAAGAGUGAGAACAUUUGAUUGUAUAGAAAGUGGGAAAACUGAGAUUUAAAAAGGAUCAAAAAGGGAGAGAGAAAAAACCAAAAACCAAAAACAAAGCUAAAAUGUCCAUAUUUAUAUAAAAAAGAAAAAAAAUCUGAACAAAUUGCAAUAUAAAAAUGCAAAGUACUUGGCAAAGAAAUACACCAAAAAGGAAAAGCAAAAAGCUCACUGUUUCACAGCCUGUUCACAAGCCACCAGCAAUUGUGAACUGUAGUUCUUUUUUUUCUUCAUCAUGACUUUUUUUUUAACAGAAGGAAGUUAAACGAGUGGUGAAAAUUAAAAUUUAUAAUAGUCAAAUUUGAAACCCCCACAUUGAAAUAGUCUUUCCUUCUAAAAACCUUUUGAAGGGCUCCCAGACUUUCCUAAACUCGGAAGGGUCUUUUGACUGGAGAAACCCUGUCAGAAUGUCCAGAUGGAUAGUAUCCUUGAAGUGACUGGCUUGACCUUGACCUUGAAGGAACUGGGGGCGGUGAUGGCCGACAGGGACCUCUGGCGUGGACUAGUCCAUGAGGUCACGAAGAGUCGGAGACGACUAAACGGCUGAGCAGCAGCUAACACAUUAUUCAGUGGGGGAAAUAUGGCAGAUCCUACUAAGUGAAAGGUUAAGUGCCUACAAGGUUUUCUAUCACAUUCACCCCUCUAGUACAGACAGUCCCGAAGUUAGAAAUAAUACCCCUGUGGUGUAUGUUUUGCUGUCUGUGUACCUGUUCUAAAGAUUUCACCUCACUUUGUGUACCUGUGAUCACUGGAUUUUGGGAAAAAAAUGGCUUGUUGUGGGAAUAAGGAUUGGUGAGAAAGCUUUAGUGAAGACACCUUUCCCACACGAUAACUCCCAGGAGGGGAUUUCCCUUCCAAGGAGUAGAUUUCUUCCACUUCCUGUUGUCUCGCUCCUGUUCUUAACUAUGAGUCAUUUGUGAGUGAGAUGUUUGUAACUUGGGAACUGUCUGUACACUAUUAUUUAUUUAUUUACAGCAUUUAUAUUCCGCCCUUCUCACCCCGAAGGGGACUCAGGGCGGAUCACAUUACACAUAUAGGCAAGCAUUCAAUGCCUUUUAACAUAGAACAAAGACAAGACAAACAUAGGCUCCGAGUGGGCCUCGAACUCAUGAUCUCCUGGUCAGAGUGAUUCAUUGCAGCUGGUUGCAGCUGGUUGCAGCUGGCUUGCUCUCCAGCCUGCGUCACAGCUACUUUUGAAGAAAAUGCUAUAUAGAUAUAUCAGAAUGUAGGGGUUGUAGAUAUAACAUGUUCAAAAGGAAAUAUGAAAACUUGUGUAUCUAUCAAUCCGGGUGCACAGAGAAUCAGGUAUUGGGUGCAGUCAAUAGAGAGGGCAAAUUCUUCAGUCUAUUACCACAUGUCCUCCAGCUGUCCCACUUUGGCAGAAGUCCAGAUGUUUUUGUCACCCCAUUUUUUUAAUGUCCCAGUUUCUCUCUCCUCUUCAAACUUCUCAAAAUAAGGAAAAUAACCUCACUCAUUACCACAUCAUUAUGUGCCAAUUUAAAAACAAAUAUAAUGUGGAGAAGCAUUUCCUCAGCCAGGAUGCUGGACAAAUGUAUGGAAAACUGGGACUAUGAUUCAAAUGGUUUGAAGGGUGUGUGUGGGGGGAAACAUUUCAUAUACAUGGGAGCUUUGAUGCUUUGUUUUGUUUUGCUCUGGAAUCCAUUGCUUAUAAUUAGAGCCUUUGGGCUGCUUGGUUAUGCACUUUAAGUUACUUCCCGCAGAUGUUAUAAUCUACUCCUGGUGUAUUGAGGGCUGCUCCAGAGCUACAUAAAUAAUAUUUCCACUAGUUGCAUCCUCCUGCCUCCCUCUAAGCCACAUCUGCAUGCUAAACUGCUUUGCCAGAGAGCCCUUUGCAUAUACAAUCCAUAGACUAUUUUCAGGGUUUUAUAAAUGUCUUACUCAGCAGCACUUAUCUGAGCAAAAGCUGAGCAAUUUGGGCGCUCAGCUGUGCCCAAGUUAGCAGUUGGUGCACUGUUUGUGAUCAUGACCCAUAUAUAGAGGUGUGUGUGUGUGUAAGUGUAUAUAAUAUAAUCUCCAUCUACAUAUCAAGAGAGAUAAGCAGAGAGACAUUGUGGCAUGGUGACUGGAGCAUUGGACCAUGACUCGGGAGAUCAGGACCAUGGAAAACCACUUGGUGACUUUGAGUAAGUCAAACUUUCCCAGCUUCAGAGGAUGGUAAGAGCAAACCCUUUCUGAACGAGUCUUGCAAGAAACCUACACAAUAGGGUAGGCACACAAUAACAAUAACAACAACAAUGUGUGUGUGUAUAUAUACACAUACAGAGAGAAAGCAAGUUUCUACAGUCUCCAAAGUGUCUCGUGUUCAGUGUUUCAGUACUCCUUAUUCCACUUCCAGUUUUAUUCUCCUCACAUUGCUGGUUGAGGCUGAGGAACAAGGCUUAGAAAAUUUACUGCCAAAUGGAGUGGUGACUGCAAUUGCAGUUAUAAAAACAGAAUCAUCGAGUUGGAAGAAGCCACCAAGACCAUCCAGUCCAACUUUAUUCUGCCAUGUAGGAACAUAUAAUUAAAGCACUUGUGACAGAUGGGCAUCCAGUCUUUGUUUGAAAACCUCCAAAGAAAGAGAGUCAACAGCUCUCCAAGAUGGUAUAUUCCAUUGUCAAACACUUCUUAAGAUUGUGGUCCAAAACACAAACUUUCCCAAGCUGUUUUGAAAGCGCAUGGCUCCACAUUUCAUCAAAAAGGGAAGAUUAGGUUUGCUGUGCAAGAGAUCUGCUGCUGCAGAUUCAGCUUGUAUGUCUGCUCUCAUGAAUCAGCGCACCUUUACGGACUUUUAAUACAAAUAUAUAUAAAAAUUGAAAUAGGCUUUUAGGGGUAUUGGCUGGUGCUGGUCUGCUGCGAGUAUGCGGAGGUCUCGCAGAAAAGGAAAAAAGAAGACAUUUCAAUUUUCUUGGCUCUUGUGUCCUAGGUGGACUAUAAAUCUUUUGAAGUGGGGGAAUGCUGUGUGUGUGUGUGUGUGUGUGUGUGUGUGUGUGAGUGUGUAUAACUUUUAUUUCUACCCCACCACCAUCUCCCUGAAGGAACUCGAGGCGGCCAACAAAAUACAGCGAAGUGCCGCAUAUACAUAAUACAUAAAUCUGAAACAAUAAAAAACACAGAAUUACAGCCACACAAUACAUAAUUACAAUGUAAAACAUUAAAAUUCAUAAAAUGCAGCCAUAGCUGUGGAUAUGUUUCAAUUUUUUUUUCGUGUCAGGAGCAACCGGAGUUGCUUCUGGAGUGAGAGAAUUGACCAUCUGCAAGGACGUUGCCCAGGGCCCCCCCCAAUGUUUUUGAUGUUUUACCAUCCUUGUGGGAGGCUUCUCUCAUGUCCCCGCAUGGAGCUGGAGCUUAUAGCUCAUCCGCGCUCUCCCCUGGUGGGAUUUGAACCUGGCAGCUUUCAGGUCAGCAACCCAACCUUCAAGUCAUGAGGCUUUUAUCCCCUAGGCCAUCGGAGGCUCCAUUGUUUCAAUUGACAACACGAGGAUCCUAGGGCCCAGUCAGGCUCAUACAAUCCACCAUAUAGCCUGGACUUCAACCUAUAGGGCUUUUAUAGGUCCUAACCAGCACUUUGAAUUGUGCCCGGGAACAAACCAGCAGCCAGCAGAGCUGUUGCAACUACUGUAUUUUUGGAAUGGGGGCAUGUGACAUUAAAAAAAAGAUUUUAAUAUCAUGUUUGGUUGGGUGUGAUUUGUUACUGCAUUGAUUUGUUUGCAAGGCAUCAAAUGGUUUUAGGAGCUGUUCCAAAAAUACAUGAAAGAAAAUGUUUCUAAAGAAGAACCAUCAACACUGAGCAAGAUGGGAAGAUGAUCUCAAAGUAUGAAGCCCUUCAGAUCUACACUGUAGGGUGGAAAAUAAUAAUGCUUAUGUAUUUAAAGUGCUUUCCAUUGUUACCUCAAAAAUCCUUAUGGAAAAAUAAGCCAAUAAUAUUACCCAUUAUUCAACUUAUUAAAUGCUCCUGUUAAGUAACUUCCAUACACAUUUUUUUUUGCUGGCAUCCUCUCUGAGAAAAACAUUGCAUGAGUCACCCAUUCUGUGGUGCAAAUGUUUCCCUUCAAGGAUAUAGGAUGUUCUAGCUGUAUUUUUCUGCUCUGGAGGGUCGGAGCAGUGGCUCUAAAUAUGAGGGUUAGGAAGGAGCAAAAUGGAGCUUGCUGCCGAAUUUACAAAGAUUUUUCCAAGUAGUGAGUUCAUAUCUCUGAUAUGUGAUAAAACUAGGAGAAAGGUAGGAAGCUAUGAAGGAACUAGCAAGAUCUUGAAGUGCAAAGAUAUAUCACAGAAUGCUAAAGUUGGGAUGGUCCAUGCAGUUGUGCUUCCGAUUUCUAUGUUGUGAAGAAAGCUAAUAGGAAGAAAAUCAAUUCAUUUGUGAUGUGAUGCUGGAGAAGAGUUAUAAUAUAAUAAUAAUAAAACUUUAUUUAUA